GCUGCCCUGCGAGUUGCUAUCCUCCAGGUCGCUCUGGCAGCCCUCGUCGUUGAGCGAGCUCUGCUUGGUGACCUUGGGCGACAGCAGCUUCACCAGGUCGCCCAGC
ensembl:miRNA